GAAUCUUCCACAAUGGGCGAAAGCCUGAUGGAGCGACGCCGCGUGAGGGAUGAAGGUCUUUGGAUCGUAAACCUCUAAAAGUGGGACGAUAAUGACGGUACCACUUGAAAAGCCCCGGCUAACUCCGUGCCAGCAGCCGCGGUAAUACGGAGGGUGCUAGCGUUAUCCGGAAUCACUGGGCGUAAAGGGCGCGUAGGCGGUUUGUUAAGUCCGAUGUUAAAGACUGGGGCUCAACCCCAGCACUGCGUUGGAUACUGGCAGACUGGACGGUUGGAGAGGCGAGUGGAAUUACCAGUGUAGCGGUGGAAUGCGUAGAUACUGGUAGGAACACCCAUUGCGAAGGCAGCUCGCUGGACAACACGUGACGCUGAGGCGCGAAAGCGUGGGGAGCAAACAGG
rnacentral:rRNA from 1 species